UAAAUUUUAAUAGUUAUAAACAAAAUGUUAAUCAGAAGUGAUUUAAAGAAGAUUUGGCGGUAAUUAAUUUGUUCUGAGAAACUUGUAUUAUAAAUGAUAUUACACAUUUUAUCUUUCCUAUAAAAAUAUUGGUUUAUGUAUUGCUGUUUAAUUUAUUAUUUGAGAUUUUUAUUAAUAAAUAUAAUUUUUUAUAAAGUUAUUUCAAGUCAAAAUAUAGUUUUUAUUAGGUUUUUUAUGAGUUGCUUUUUUUAAAAAGAAAUAGAAAAAGAAGAAAUUUUAAACAAAUUCUUUUUUUAGGAUUAGGUUGUAAAAUUAAAGUAGUUUGUUAGUUUGAUAAUUUUUAUAAUUAUGU
rnacentral:rRNA from 1 species